rnacentral:rRNA from 1 species
CAGUAGCCGCGGUAAUACGUUGGUCCCGAGCGUUGUCCGGAUUUAUUGGGCGUAAAGGGAGCGCAGGCGGUUUAGUAAGUCUGAAGUUAAAGGCAUUGGCUCAACCAAUGUAUGCUUUGGAAACUGUUAGACUUGAGUGCAGAAGGGGAGAGUGGAAUUCCAUGUGUAGCGGUGAAAUGCGUAGAUAUAUGGAGGAACACCGGUGGCGAAAGCGGCUCUCUGGUCUGUCACUGACGCUGAGGCUCGAAAGCGUGGGUAGCGAACAGGAUUAGAUACCCCCGUAGUCCCUGUCUCUUAUACA